UACAGAGGUGGCAAGCGUUGUUCGGAAUUACUGGGCGUAAAGGGCGCGUAGGCGGCCUUCUAAGUCAGACGUGAAAUCCCCCGGCUUAACCUGGGAACUGCGUCUGAUACUGGAGGGCUUGAGUAUGGGAGAGGGAUGUAGAAUUCCAGGUGUAGCGGUGAAAUGCGUAGAUAUCUGGAGGAAUACCGGUGGCGAAGGCGGCAUCCUGGACCAUUACUGACGCUGAGGCACGAAGGCUAGGGGAGCAAACGGG
rnacentral:rRNA from 1 species